CGAAGUUAGCCGGGGCUUAUUCUGCGGGUACCGUCAUUAUCGUCCCCGCCAAAAGAGCUUUACAACCCUAAGGCCUUCGUCACUCACGCGGCAUGGCUGGAUCAGGCUUGCGCCCAUUGUCCAAUAUUCCCCA
rnacentral:rRNA from 1 species